rnacentral:lncRNA from 1 species
CACCAGCAUAUUUCCUUGAUCCAGUUAUAAGCUCCAAAGUGGAGAUUACCAUUCUUUAAUAAGGCUUUUUCACAGUCACUCUCAAUGAUUAGCAUUCUAUAACCCCUUAUCCAACAAUGUUGUACCGCCAUUAAAAUUCCUUGAUGUUCACUUUCAAACGUAUUUUAAACAAUCUUUCAUGCAGCUUGAGCUGAUUCUUUAUAACAUCCAUACUCAUUUCUUAGAAUCCAACCCGCUUCCGC